rnacentral:rRNA from 1 species
AGAGUUUGAUCCUGGCUCAGAACGAACGCUGGCGGCAUGCCUAACACAUGCAAGUCGAACGCCUGUAGCAAUACAGGAGUGGCGCACGGGUGAAUAACGCGUGGGAACCUGCCCAAUGGUUCGGGAUAACUGCGGGAAACUGCAGCUAAUACCGGAUAAGCCCUGAGGGGGAAAGAAUUUCGCCGAUGGAGGGGCCCGCGUUGGAUUAGCUAGUUGGUGAGGUAACGGCUCACCAAGGCUACGAUCCAUAGCUGGUCUGAGAGGACGAUCAGCCACACUGGGACUGAGACACGGCCCAGACUCCUACGGGAGGCAGCAGUGGGGAAUAUUGGACAAUGGGGGCAACCCUGAUCCAGCAAUGCCGCGUGAGUGAUGAAGGCCUUCGGGUUGUAAAGCUCUUUUGGCGGGGACGAUGAUGACGGUACCCGCAGAAUAGCCCGAUCCGAU